CUCACAUCUUAAUUCCAUUUGCUUUUUAAAAGGUUUUGUGGUUCUUUGGAAGAAGAGAAUGUUAUCUGCUGCCGUAGAGCCUAACUGCCGGCUCCUUUGUCAUUUUGCCUGUGCUUCCUGGGCUACAUCCCCCAUCCUUGGGAUGCAGCCCCUGGCAACCACCAAUCUGAUGUCUGUCUCUAUGGAUUACCCUCCUCUGGACUUUUCACAAGAGCACAGGAAUUGCACUGGCCCAGCUUCGACACUGCUUUGCAGGAAGAAGGGGUCUAGAGCGGAAUCUGGUGACAAAGCAGCCCUGGGUCAUUUGGCUGGCGGCUCACACACCCCCAGGAGCACCUCCAAGGGACUCAGUACUCUCCAGUGCUAAGGCAAGAAAAUGUUCCAAAGGAUGGUUCUGACUGUAUUUGAAUUAUAAUUAAAGUUGCAAAUAACCCA
rnacentral:lncRNA from 1 species